CGUACAGCAGAUACGGGACAUGUGCACAGUGCACACGUCCCAUCCGCAUGCACAAUGCAUGCAUCCCAUCCGCAUGUACGCACGCACGGAAGUAGUCGUGUCGUGCGCAGCAGGCCGUCCGUGCGUCACCUUGCGCUUGAACAGCGAUGCGCAUUGUUCGUGCGCCAUUCGUGCAGCAGGCCUGUGUAGAUAGGCCUUGUGCGCCUGGGGCCUACGUGCAGUAGGCCUGC
rnacentral:lncRNA from 1 species